rnacentral:rRNA from 1 species
AUGGGCAUUUCAGAGAUAAACUAUUGCAUCAGAAAUUUGCUUGGAGAAGAUCUGGGACACUCGGGUACAUUAGACCCACGAGGGCAAUGCGAGGGAGGCCAUGCGCUCAAGUGGGAGGCGGAGCUCGCCUCCCCCAAUGACGACGGCUUCGACCUCAAGUGGAUGUGGGAGGCCAAGUCCAAGCCAUGUGCUGCCGGCAAGGUCGAAACCAAGUGGGGCGCCAAGGAAGCCAACGAGGAUGACAAUAAUUCGGCAAGAAAGUGCGUCCAGAUAAAGGAGAUCUCCACCGGCUGCGAUGUCCAGAUCGAGGUACUCGGCAGAAAAGAUGAAAUUGUUGUGAUGAAAUAUGGGAUUUCCAGUGCUCCAGUAGCUAAAUGA